rnacentral:rRNA from 1 species
UUAAGCGCCAGUAAACGGCUGCUGUAACUAUAACGGUACUAAGGUAGCAACCCGGACGUGCACCGGGUACUGCCCCUCGGCGCGGCGACGCGCCGAGUGCAGUCGGCUAUAUGCUGGAAACCCCGAGUAUCCGGCGGUACCGCCUGUCCCACCCUCGCAGUAGGGUGCGGCCAUGCGCGGUGACAAUCCGUCCGGUGCGGGCAAUCAGCAGGAAAGGCCAGGGCUCGAGCAGUGGGUCGUCGGCUUCGUCGACGGCGAAGGCUGUUUCUCGAUCUCGGUCGUGCGCAAUCCCGGGUGCCUCCUCGGCUGGCAGGUCCAGCACGAGUUCUCGGUCACCCAGGCGGCGCCGUCGAGGCCGGCGCUCGAACUCCUCCAGCAGGUGUUCGGGUGCGGGCAGAUCAUCGAGAACCGGCGCCACGACAACCAUCGCCACGCGCUGCUUCGCUUCUCCGUGAAGCGAAGCAGCGACCUGGUGUCGGUGGUGGUGCCGUUCUUCGAAGAUCACCCACUGAUCACCGCGAAGCGCGCCGACUUCGAGGCGUUCGCCUCCGUCCUGCAGAUGAUGCAGGCGGGAGCGCAUCUCCACGAGGACGGCCUCCACCGGAUCGCCGCUGUCACAGAGCGGAUGAACCGGCGGGCGCGGUCUCGAUACCUGGAAUCCUCAGAGGCCAUACGCCGACCAGCUCGGUCCGACACCGAGCUGAAGAUAUGGUCCUAGCCCCAUGGCGACAUGGGGACUCACUAGAGCGAAAUUCCUUGUCGGGUAAGUUCCGACCUGCACGAAUGGCGUAACGACUUGGGCGCUGUCUCAACCAGUGGCUCGGUGAAAUUGCAAUACGAGUAAAGAUGCUCGUUACCCGCGGAAGGACGGAAAGACCCCGGGACCUUUACUACAGCUUGAUGUUGGAGUUUGGUACAAAUUGUGUAGGAUAGGUGGGAGACUGUGAAACUGGGACGCUAGUCUCGGUGGAGUCAACCUUGAAAUACCACCCUGUUUGUGCUGGGCUUCUAACCACGGUCCGUGAAUCCGGAUCUGGAACAGCGUCAGGUGGGUAGUUUAACUGGGGCGGUUGCCUCCCAAAAUGUAACGGAGGCGCCCAAAGGUUCCCUCAAGCUGGUUGGCAAUCAGCUGUCGAGUGCAAGGGCACAAGGGAGCUUGACUGCGAGACAGACAUGUCGAGCAGGAGCGAAAGCUGGGCCUAGUGAUCCGGCAGUGGCAUGUGGAAGCGCUGUCGCUCAACGGCUAAAAGGUACCCCGGGGAUAACAGGCUGAUAGUGCCCAAGAGUCCAUAUCGACGGCACUGUUUGGCACCUCGAUGUCGGCUCAUCGCAUCCUGGGGCCGGAGUAGGUCCCAAGGGUUGGGCUGUUCGCCCAUUAAAGCGGUACGCGAGCUGGGUUUAGAACGUCGUGAGACAGUGAAUAUCGCGCUGUCUGUAAAUUCGGCUAAAUGCUGGAAACUCCGGAUGCAUCCUGCGGUACCUCCAUUGUCACACCCGAGCGGUAGCCUUCGGGACGACAAGGGGGGUGACAAUCCGACAGGUGGGUGGUCGAAGUGACCGCGCCGGACAAUCAGCAGGAAAGGCUGGACGACUACCUGGCGGGAUACGUCGACGGGGAAGGAAGCUUCCACGUCGCGAUCCAACGGAA